UAUGAAUUAAAGAUUGCCUUAGAAAGAUAGAGAAUAUGCAGAGCUUUAAGAGGUAGAUCUCUUAAUUGCCUUGAACUCUAUAUUUAUUGUGAAUAUUCUGGAUUAGUAGCUCCAUCAAUAUAAUGCAUGAAAUGUUUUAUUAUUCUAGUAGAGUAUUUUGGAAUGAGUUGACACUAAUUGCAUUAUGCAAAAAGUGUGUAAUUAUCAAGAGUUAAAUGUUUUACUCUCACACUUAGGCUUGGUGGCUAAAAGACAUAAUUGCAAGCCUUUUUUUUGAAAAAAAAAAUACUAUGUUGUAUUAGAUAUUAAAUUUUAUUAUGAAUUUGUUUUAGCUGGAAAAUCAUUGUUUUUUAUAUAAUGAGAAAUAAACACACUUUCUUGAAACUAGAUGUUAUACUGAAAACUUGAAUGCUAUAAUAUGCUCUCUCACUCUCUCUUAUUCAUAUAUAUAAGAAAAUGAAUUCAUCAUCACAUUUUUUUAAAUUUAUAUCUAUAGUUAAAUAUAUUCUACCUUAUUUCUAAUCAAAUGAGCUGCAACAUUCUUGUUCUCUAAUUUUCCUUUAAGAUAAUUGAGUUUAUAUGUUCAUAACUUAUGAAUAUUUUUACUUUCGAACAAACUAUGUUUAUUUCUAUUAAGUUUUGUCUCUGUAUUGCUUGUUAAUUUAUUUUGCAACUGUUCGAAUUUGGCAACCAAUUUCUUUUCCUUUUUCUUUUAUUUGUUUGCAUAUAUGGUUAACAUGUUUAAAGUGUUUUUUCUUCAACCUAUAUCCCUAACCCAUCAAAUUCAUCGACUGAAGAAGUUGUAUGUGAAUGAAGAAGUUGUCCGUGAUAAUGCAUGAUUGCAGUACUUAUGCUCAUGGAGUGAAAAAUAAUAAUCCUUCUAAAUUUAGCUUUUAGAUUUGGUAAAUUUAGCCCUUAAAUUUAGUUACGAGUAGAAUGAAUUUGAUUGGAUAAUAGCAGUUUUAAAGUAUUUGAGAUUAUUCAAUUAUAAGAAUAAGUUGUCUUGUAAUAAGACGUCUUGUGUAUUGAAGUAUUUGGAUUGUGUAAUAUAUAUUGAUAAUAUUAAAAUGUUAUGAAAGGUUUUGCAAUAUAAAUUGAUUUUUGUUGUUAUUUCUUACCACUUUUUAAUUUUAUCAACAAAUCAAUGGGCAACAUGUCAUUUUAUAUUAUUAUUUUUUAAAUAAUAAAUAAAAUAUUGAUACCAGUAACAGUAAUCACAAACACUAAUAUAAUAUUGUAAUAUUCUAAUACUAUGGUGUCAUGAUUUUGGUGAUAUUAUAGUAAUAGUAAUCACUAACACUAUACUCGUGACACUACAAAUAAGUGUCACUAUUUUUUUGACUACUAGAUUACCGACACAAUUAGCAAGUGUCACUAAAAGUAAUUACUGACAUAUUCUAAUGUCAGUAAAAACCAUUUUUUUAGUAGUGCGAGACCCCACUAUAGUUUUCAAUCAAUUGAAACUCCACUAGUGUUAAAAAUUAUAACGACCAAAUCAAAUUUCUAAGUCUUUCAAAACUUUAGACUAACAAUUUUUUCAACAAAAACAUAGUUUUAUCAUAUUUUGAAAGUCAAAAUUAAAUAACUGAAGUUACAACAAUUGAUUUUUCCGUUAAAAUUUUAAUGGUUUCAAUGGGUUUUAAAACUUGGGAUGGGUUUCCAUUCUUUUAAACAAAUAAUUCAACAAUCAACUUACAAAGACAAUGAAUAAACGCUCAUUUCUAAAUCUUCCUAUAGCCUUAGCUACAACCUGUCCAAUCUUUCUGUCACUGUUUGCUGCUGUUGUUCCAACCUUUAUGUAACAAAAGUACCAGCUUAUUGUCAUAUCAAAUAAUUUCAUAUGACAAACUAAAGUAAGCGAAUUAAAACUCAUAAAGUAAAUUCAUGAACCUGAGCAAUUUCGUCAGCUGAGCGAACCACUCGUGCUCUCCCAUGUAAGGCCAUGUUUGGUUGACAAGAGAUGAGUUGAAUUUAAAAUCCUUAAUAAUUUCUUUUGUUUGGUUGGAAUAAACUGACCUGAAAUUAUUCUCCAUAGACAUUUAAUUUUUGUUGUAGUAAGGAAUUCAGUUUCUUCUAUGAGGUGGUAGGAAUUCUAAUUCCAUAACUUAAAAAUAUUUAAAUUGUCAUUUGUAACUCUAUUAUAUUUUUAAAUUUCCAAUUUUACCCUUACUUAAAAUUUACAUGAUGAAACCCUAAAUUAUUUCCUAUCUUACGAUUUCUCCCUAACUAGCAGCCCCCUCUUUGAUUUUCAUCCAUUUGCACAACCGAUGCCAUCGAUUCAUAUCCGUUGCUAUUGAUUCAUCUGAAAAUAAGAAGAACAAGAUGAAAACAAAGGUAAAUGUUGUGAUUUCUUAGAUUUAUUUAGUUGUUGAUAUGUUGAUUUUUUUUCAUUUGUUAAGUUUAUGAUUCUGUUUGGUUUCUGAGAAAAUUAUGGCUGAGUUAUUUUUGUUCCGUUUGUUUGUUGAAACUAGACUUGAUUAGUUUUCUUAAUUAACUAAUGAUGGCUGAGUUUAUUGAACUAGCCUUGAUUUGUUUGUUUGUUGAGUUUAUGAUUCUGUUUGGUUGCUAAGAAAAUUAUGGCCAAGUUAUUUUUUUUUCGUUUGUUUAUUGAACUAGCUUUGAUUAAUUAAUUAUGGCUAAAUUUAUUGGAGUAUCCUUGAUUUGUUUGUUUGUUGAGUUUAUGAUAAUGGGAAUUAGUACUGCUGAUGUUCAUCUUUGAGUUUGUUAAGUGCAUAAUUAUUUCAAUUAGAUAAUGUUUUAAAGAAUUUGAUGUGCUUUGCCAUGUAACAAGUUCCAAUUUUCAUUGUGCCAAUCAUAAACAAAUCUAAGGCUAUCAGGUAACAAGUUCUAGGUUUCUUCCACUGCAUUCUUUCAAAUUUUAUCAUUUUGCAUUUAUGAAAUUAUAUAAACUUAUCUGUCUGAGCUUCCCAUCUUCAAUUUUUCUUCUACUGCAUCAUUAUUAUGCUUGAUGUGGCAAUUAUCUCUAUAACUUAAUCAUAUUUACUUUUGAUUUUAAAAUUUAUAAUGUUGAGUGUGGACCUCCUUCAUUGGCAAUUACUAUUAGCUUGUAACUUAAGCAUUUACAUUUCUCAAAUUAUAUAAACUUGUCUCUCUGAGCCUCCCAUCUUUAAUUUUUCUUCAUUACGAAGCAGAUGCCAUGUGAUCCUUUUGAUGAAGUAUUUGAUGCUGUAAAUGAGGUGGAAUCACUUGAAGUAGCAUGAUAACUAAUAUAGAAACCUCAGAAGAGUGGAAUACAUGAAGGAUAAAUUUAGCACAAAAGAUGUAUCAUUAAUGGAGAGCAAGUAGACAGAACACAUGAAAACUCCUUAAAAAAAAAUUGUUAUGUUUUGUUAUUACAUUUGCUGGAUUGUAGAUGUAAUAUUUGUUUUCGACUUCGGAGAUUUUGUAUUCUGGUACAUCUUUCUUAAUGGUUAAAUGUGAUAAUGUGAUAUCGAUGUUUUUUAUUUUAUUUUAUCACUUUAUCCAUAGCUCUAUUUCUGGUUUGCCUCAAUUGAGAUUUGGUGUUCUUUACUGUUAAUUUUUAAAGUUAUAUAAUGUGUAUUACAG
rnacentral:lncRNA from 1 species